rnacentral:lncRNA from 1 species
GGUAGGAAAAAAAGGAUGAGAACCCUUUAAAAACAUGAGGAAAAUCUACCCUCAUUUUUAUUAGUCAGUUAGAAUGGAGUUUUACUAUAACUUAUUCCAAAUAACUUUCUUUUUCCGAAACUCCUAAGUUGGCUAGGAAUUUCUCUGCCUUUCCUGAUGGAUUUUCCGUUUUUACCUGAUUUCAUAAAUUUCUGGAACUUAUGAAGUUUCCGGAAAUUUUCCCACCACAGUGAAUUCAUUCAUUAAUAAAUAUACAUUCUAUAUCAGGCACUGUGGAAGCCUGGGGGUACAAUUUUAAAUAAGAUAGACACGGCUCCUUCUCUAAUGCAAACACAUUAGGGAGGAUUUUUAAAAUUUGUGAUUACAAAAGUAAUGCAGGAACAUUGUAAAAAAAUUUAAAAGUAAAGUAUGAACUAUCAUGAGAAAAUCAUUUAUAAUCUGGGAAGUCCACAGAAAUGAUGAGAAAACAUGGCAGACACACAAUCAAAUGUUUAUCAACAUGAACAGCAUGACAAUCUGAAGGUUAAAAUAACAUAAUCACAACAAAGAAUUUACUCAGUUGAAAUAUUAAAAACCAAAUGAAUCUCUAGUCUUUCAUUAAUGUAAUAAUGUAUUUAUUAAUUUAGCUGAUCUUUUAGGUGCUUACUCUGUAUAGACUGCUUCUCAGCAUGUUGCUUCUGAGGUUGACCACCUUUGGCCUAGGUGCCCAGAAUAUUUUUCAAGGUUACUGUUUUGGCAUAUCUCAUCAUGGGCAUUUCUGGUUUUUUUUUUCUCUUGUUCUCGUUUUAUCCUCUACUCUUUCAUCCCUUGCUUUAGGAAUAAAGAUUUCUGCCUGAAUCUUGGGCCUGACUGAUCAUCCACAGAUGUUACUGGUAGCCCUCUGAGCAGCACUGUCUCAAGCGGUCUGAUAACAGGCCCUGAAACUUCCACCCUGCAUUCCAUUCCUUGUGUCUUAAAAGCAGACUGCAGUGUAGCUGAAGCAACCUUCUAUUCAUGCCAAAGUGCUUUAUUCUGUGACUAUACCUUGUAUUGAGCUCUAAAACCUCAGAGAGCUUUAAACUGGUUUUGCCUUUAUAGAAAGGUUAAGUCCAUUUGUGCAUUACAGCUUUUAUUCUGUGUGUGUGUGCAUACUUAAAUUAAAAUGGAAAUUUAUUUGUUAGGUUAGUUUCUCCCAGAAUUGCUCCUGGCAAAGAGGAAGAAGGAGAUGGAUGGAUGGAGAUGGAUGGAUAGAUGGAUGGAGAGAGGGAGGGAGGAAGACAGGCAGGCAGACAGACAGACUGCUAUCACAAGAAAGGCUGUUAUCACAAGUAUUUUAAGUGUCCUGCUAUAAUUUUUGUGUACUUAUAAAAGUGGAUAGAAACACAAGUUGAACAAAACAGGUUUUGUUUGCUUCCUAGUACCUGGGAGCAUCUUUUCCCACAGAUAAAAAGGAUAACCUUAACCUGCCCAUUUCUUUGGGCAGUUAGUGGAACUAACUGGCAGUUUUAUACAUUCAAUUGGAAAAAAACAGAAAGUUUUAGGAAACACCAUUCUUGCAAAGCCUGUCCUAAAAGAUUUCUCAGAUUUCUUUAAAGAGAAGUAUCACCUCCUUGGCGAGGCCAUUCCUUACCAUCCAAUCUAAACUGCUUCAUCACUCCCCCACACCUGUCACCAUCACAUAGCAUCUUGCUCUCAUUUCUUCUUCAUGUUUACCACCAUAUAAACUUAUCUUGUUCAUCUUACUUGAUGGCUGUUCAUGGCACUUCUCUCAAUCUCUGCCUUCUGCUACCUGCCUCCCUCCCUAGAAAUGUAUAAGCUCCACAGAUGAGUAAUAACUUUAUCUGUCUUGGCCAGAACAUUUAUGUGUGAUGGGGACAGAGAAACAUGCAAUAAAAAUGUGUUGAAUGGAUGAAAAAAGAAAAAAGUACCGAUAUAAUUUCCCAAGGGUCUAUUCUUCCAGUAAACACACCUAAGAUGUUAGCCCCCUAAAUGCAUCUCCAAAUAUGUACAGGUCACGCAUUUAGAUUAUCCUUAAAUGGUAAUGCCAUAAGAAAUAAUUAAAGGAAGUUACAGAUAUAACUCUUCAUUUAUUAUUUUUAAGCAUCUACUCAACACUUAUAUGCCAGACCAUAUAAAAGGAGAAAAGAAGAUGAGCAUGUUUCUGUCCCUGCUUCUGAUAAACUCACAAGGUCAUGGGGGACUGUAAUAAUUAAUAUUAAUUUAGCUUUUUACAGUUUUCAAAAAUAUUUUCCAAAAUUAUUACACUUGAAAAUAAGGGCAUAUAGCCAACCUGGGAGAUUUAGGGGAGUAUCUAUCUUGUUUCUCUUGGAAAUAUCAGCAGAAACUGACGCAACCUAUGAGAUGCUUCUGAUAUUUGUAUGUUGUGCAUACCUGGAACCAGGCUUUGGAUUAUGGCUUCUUGAUGCCAGGGAUGAAACAAUCUCCCCUAACUUCAAAUAUAACUGCAAGUAACAGUACACUGGGAAUUUCCAGGCAGCAAGUUGUAAUAGAAUGGAGCAUGAUGUCACAAACCCUAAGACAGUUUUGUAAAUUAUUAGAGCAUUUGUUCACAUGGACCCCCUUCAUGCUCCAAUUCACCUUAACUUUUAUAAAGAACAUCAAAUCUGGCAAAUAUGCUUAGUGGAUUGACCCAAAUGUGCAAUUAACAGACUCAUGCUCUCAUGUCGGAUUCCAGGGCCUUAUUAGAUAGCCUUUCUUUCCAUUUAAUGAGCUCUGUACUGCUUGGAAAGCUAGACCUGGUGAGGUGUUCCUGAAUCUGAGGACUUGUUAGAAAUUCUCUGAGGUGGGCUUUCUCAUAAACCUUGGCUUCAACACACCAAAAUAACCAAGAGAAACAUUAAUUAUUCAGUCUAACCACUAAUCUCUGGUUGCCAGAUAGAAAGGCACCCUCUUCAAUGCUUGAUACAUUUUAGGUAUCUCAUAAAUAUUCUCAAAUAGUUGUUGAAUAAAGGAGGAAAUGGAUAAACAAGUACAUGUAGAAUCUUCCCUUUAAUUCUACCCUCAAAAGAAAAUGAGGCACUUGACUGAAAGCAAGCUUAAUAAAUGAAUCAAUUCAAGUCAGUUCUGUGUUCACACAGAAGUCACCAGGCUCACGUUGGGCCUCAACCACUGAAAAUGAGGGAAAAAAAAUCACAAAGGCCUUUUCAAGUUCUGCCUUAUUUUCAUUUGUUAGCCACAGGCCAUGUUUUCUAAAAAUACUGCUAAAACUUAAGCUUAUGGAAGCUAUCUACUAAGAUCAAGCUGACUUUUAUCCCUGUAGCCGUUUUAUGGGGGGGAUCACAGCACUGGGACAUGACCACCUGCUAGCAGCUUUCAGGCUAAAUUAGAUUCAGGGAUCCUUGCAAUGAAAUCUUUGCAUAGGGCAGUUUAUCAAAAUCUUUAGCUCACUUAAUACCCCUAUCAUCUGACUCUAAUCCAAGACAUUCAGAAUUUAUUUAUCCUUAAACACAUUUAUCCUCUUCUCCAGUUUCUUUCUUUUUUUUUUUUUGUCUCAUUGCUUCAACAAGAUUGUUAACUCCUUUAAGACAAGAAAUGUAGCCUCCAGUUCUUUCUUACUCCAUCUCUGCCUAGUGCAGUACUGAGCACAUAGAGGUGAUCAAUAAAUAUUCCCUUUAAACUUAAAUAAAAACUUACAAAAGUAGCCAUCAAUAUCGAGUCAAUUUGGAAAAUAGACAAAAGGAAAAAUAUUACUUCUAGCUUUAUUAUUUAAUUCAUCCAUUUUAGUAAGGAACAUACCCCCUGUACUUCUCAAGCUUUUCAACUGAACUAACCCUCCAAAGAGAAGAAAAUUAAUCAAUGCUCUUGCUCCCAACUCCAGGUAUGGGCCCAACCUCAUGAACAAAAUUAAGGAUAGAAACAAGUCUCAGUCGCAGCCUGCCUAGAUGGCUUCGAUGCCAGGCAAUAAAACAGUGUGAGCUUCUAUCUGAGUUGAGGUUCCUUUUAGCAAGUGAAACCAACUUGCAAAACAGGGAAAACUGACACUCCAGCAAGAUGUACCAAGUUUACCUCAAGGCUUCAUCUUUCCCUUCACCCAACUUCAAACCUUCCAUGGGAACAGAAGGCCCAGUUUAAGAGGGGCAACAGCAUGGAGUGCAUCACCCUGCACGACCCAUGGAAAUGUCUGUGAGUCUGAAGUUUCCAAGCACACAGAACUCCUACCUAUGUGGCAAUUGUAGCUCGCAUGACUAAUUUCUCAUCUGAACAGACAAACUGGUUUCCCCAAAGCCUCCUUAGCUUGGCAGGGGGUGUGGGCACAAUUAAAUGGUAAUAAGUUUUCAUAUAUCUAAGAGUUGCUACCAAUCAGGGUGGGGCAGACAAAAGAGAGUAGCUGCUAAGGUUUUAUCCUAACCCAUGAGACUCUGCCAUCUGUCCUGUGGCAGAAAGCUGAUUCAUAGCUACCUGAGAGAAAUUAUGGAAAUGAGUUUUGCAAUACUUAAUACCAGUUAUGGGUGAAAUGAUAGAUUUCUUUGGCACAGUUUUUCUAAAUAAUACUUCUUGGUGAACCUACCCACCAACUCACCCCCAUCACAUCAUGUCAUCAAGUAUGGAUAACACCAACAUUCUAGAAUCUAUUGCAUUCUCUUUGUAAGCUAUUACUGAGUUUUUGCCACCUCAUGUUGCCUACCGGUUUUAUGGGUCAUGCUAACUGUAAAUUGGGGAUAUUAAAGUUUAUAUGUGUGUAUGUGGCAUGAGUAAGUUACUGUUCACAAGGAGGAAAGAAUAUUCAGCAAAUCCAGGAAGCAUACUUUCCUCCCCUUUUAAGCCCCUGAGGAGGACUUGGUCAUUAAAAUCCUGUCCUGGGCUGAGGCUAAGCAGAACCAGAAUCCUAACUCCUCCAUAGGCAGGCUGUGUGUGCAAAUUCGCUAAGCCUCGGCUGCUUCAUCCAUAAAAUGAGGUGAUAAUAUUGACCAAUACUGCAGUUUGAGGAUUAAGUGAGGGGUUUGGCCAGGUGGGCAGUAGGGCUCCCAGCAUCUAAGUGCUUGAUGAUUGGCCAGUGGCAGUUGUAAGAACUCCCCUGGUCCUCAGCACAUGGCAGCAUAUCUAUAUUUUGCAAGUAUGCCUUGUUUGUAUUUCACAAUCAAAGUUCAGCUUACUAAAUUCACUUUCUUAGGCCAGUGGCCUAGUCAGGGCCAUAAUUAAACAAUUAGCCUUGGGAAUAGAAUAAUGGAUUUGCUAAAUGGCCUUUUUUCAUUGCAUCCUACAGUGCAAGUUCAGUAGCCACCAGAGCUUUCUCCCUCUCUCUGCUCCUUUCAUAUUCCCCCAGACCUAGCUCUGAACACAUACAGAUGUCUAUGUACAUCUGCUCUUUAUUUUAGAGCAGUGCUCCUCAAUAGAACUUUCUGCAAUGAUGGAAAUGUUCUCUAACCUGGGUCAUCCAGUACAGUAGCCACUGGCCAUCGGUGACUAACCGAGCACUUAAAAUGUAGUUAGUGCUAGUGAAGAACUAAAGUUUUAAUUUUAGUAUUUUAAUUAGUUUAAGUGUAAGUCACCACAUGUGGUUAGUGGCUACCAUAUCAGACAGGGCAAUUUUAGGCAAAAGACUUUCCUUUUCCCUUUCAGCAAGAGUCUCAGCCAUCACUCAUAAUGUGGGUGCAUGACUGUACCCAGUGUUGGAGGAUAGAAGCACUUAACUUACACUUCAUGGUUUCCGUAGAGUUCUGCAGCUUGACUUUUCAAAAGCAGUCUGUGUGCAUGUGAGUGUGUGUUGCAGAGAAAGGGGAAUCAUAUUACCUAAAGACACUGCAAAAGCACAGCUACAGGCUGGGGUAGAAACUUCAGAGCAGUUGCAGAGGUUACUCAGUCCUCUUCUAGUGAAAACAAAUCGAACCACAACAAUUCACUGUGAUUGCCACCGUGGCUUGCUCUUCUUGUGCACCGCUUACCGCAAGGCCAUUGGAAAUUCAAAAAAUAAAGUCCUUGCUUGUUGUGAUUAUCUUGCUUGGAGCCAUAGUUUGAGGAAGGCUCUAUGCAGCUCUAGAAUAACUGGUAGGAGCCCUCUCAGGGCUCCCAAAAAUAAUAUAUCUUAAUAUAAUAUAGCUUAAUAACUUUCAUGCCUUUUUAUUUACUUUUUCAAACCAGAGAAACAUAGAAGAGAAACCAAAAAAAAUUUUUUUUAAGAGAGAGUAAGAGAGAGUAGUUUGAAAAGUCUGCUUUGAUCCAAGUCUGCAGGGCCAAGACUCUAACAGCCACAUAUUUAUUUCAAACACUGUUAUUUGGUUUAUGUUUUCUUGUGGUUCUGACAAUGAUACUGCAGCUUCUUCAAAGCCAGGAGAGCUCUGUGGAAGCAGGUUAGACAAGAGGAUUCCAGCCGAGAGGACCCCUAAUGGCUUCCUCUGGGUUCCCGCUCUAUGAUUCACAAAGGUGUCUUUAGCUGACUUUAAACUCCAGUUGUCAUACAGGUUGCAGAUUGACUUGGCCAAAUUAAUACGUGGGGUUGACUCCUUAGGCAAUAAUCCAUUCAGCUGUGGGAAAGGAGCCUUCCAGUUCUAAGCCCAGCUGCCUGGUCCCAGGCCGCCAGCUUUCCCCAGUGGUCGGGUGCUGGUC